rnacentral:rRNA from 1 species
UACAGAGGCCACGAGCGUUAGGCGGAAUCACUGGGCUUAAAGCGUGUGUAGGCGGGUCCGUAAGUACCUUGUGAAAUCCCACCGCUCAACGGUGGAACUGCUCGGUACACUGCGGGUCUUGAGCUGUCUAGGGGCGACCGGAACAAGCGGUGGAGCGGUGAAAUGCGUAGAUAUCGCUUGGAACGCCAGUGGUGAAAACGGGUUGCUGGGCCGACACUGACGCUGAUAGCGCGAAAGCCAGGGGAGCAAACGGG